AUCAUGGCAAGAGAUGAGACAAGGGGUGAAGGAAAUAAGUGCGAGAAAACAGAAGGAAUUGAAAUCACAUCAAACGAAGAUUCAAAAGAAGAGGUUAUGGAGGACAAGGAAGUUACUGAAACAUGAUUCAACUUCACAUUCAGAAGAACCGAUGAAAGAUGGCUAUGGAGAAGAGAGCUUAAGGAAAAAUUGGUGGAAGACGAAACACAUGAAGAGCUCAAGACCAGUGAAAUAGAAAACCAGAUCACAGAUAAAAUCAUUGAGGAUCCAGGCCAAGCUUCAGUUGCUGAGAUUGAAGCCACAUCAGUAACAGAAGAGGUU